rnacentral:RNase_P_RNA from 1 species
GCGGAAGAUCGGGCAGUCGCUGUAAUCUUUGUAUUGCAGAGGAAAGUCCGGGCACCACAGGACAGGAUACUUCGUGCUGAGCGAAGGACCCGUAAGGGUACGGAAAGUGCAACAGAGAGAAGACCACUCUUUCUGCAGCUCUAACAAGGGCCUGCAGAUGGGGCGAGAUGUGAAAAGGUGAGGUAAGAGCUCACCGUCCCGCUGAAGCGGGAGCAGGUAAACCCUAUCCGGUGCAAGACCAAGUAGAGGGGAUUUCUGCAGACAACAGCAGAAGGGAAUGGUCCGUUCUUUUCCCCAGGGUAGGUCGCUAAAUGUUCCGCCGCUGGCGGGACCAGAUAAAUGACUGCCUCUUCCCAAAUGGGAAAAGACAGAACCCGGCUUACAGUUCUUCCGUUCCU